UAUUAGGUUGGUACAAAAGUAAUUGCAGUUUUUGCCAUUGAAAGUAAUGGCAAAAACCAUAAUUACUUUUGUACCAAUCUAAUA
rnacentral:pre_miRNA from 1 species